GUUCUGGGAGCCAGGACUCCUGGGUUCACUGGGAAUAGCCUGGGUACGCUGGGUACCGUCCAUUCACCUCUCCACCUCUUUCUCUCGGUGUUUUCCCCACAGGCUCUUCCCGCCGGCCCCAGGGGGGCGCUGUCCCACGACUCAGCUGGGGGCCCUCGGCGAUUCCGACGGGACCUGCGGGGGGCUCCCUACGAGGGGGAGACGGGGCUGGCCAACGAGAUCUACUACCCCCGGCUGGGGCCGCUGGCCCAGGACGAGCUGCUGGCCCAGGCGCUGGAGAGGCUGGGGGCUCCCCCUGCAGGCCGGUGGCGGGAGGACGAGCCAGGGGGCACCCCGUGGCUCCAGGAGGUGCCCCCCGGUGGCCGCUGGAGGCAGGAUGGGGCCCAGGCCGCCCUGGCUCUCCAGCGCCUCCUCCAGGAAUCGGUCCCCCUGGCCUCUCUCUUGCAGCUGUGGGACCAGGCUAGGGGGGCCUCAUACCCCGAUUACGAUGAGACUGGGGCAGAUGCCCCCCCCAGGACCCGGGCCCCGGCCCCACCCCAGCUGAGCCGUUACCGGACGGAUGGGGCCUACGAGAACCACCAGGACGAGCCGGGUGAUGAGGAGCCUGGGGAGAUGGAUGCAGAGAUGCUGAGGUACCUGGUGGGCCGGAUCCUCGCGGGGGGUGNNNNNNNNNNNNNNNNNNNNNNNNNNNNNNNNNNNNNNNNGUGAGAUGCGACCCCCCCGCCACCCCAGACGCCUGCGCCGGGGGCUGGAGGAAGAACCCCCCACCCUGCUGCGCGUGAAGCGGCUGGGGGGCGACGGGGAGGGCCCCGAGGCGGGAGCACCCCAGCUGCAGCGGGCCAAGAGGACGGAGGAAGAGGAGGAGGAGGCAGCUGUUGGGGGGCGGAGGGGGGCAUAUGGAGGGGAGCCCCUGCUGAGGUAUCUGCCUGAGUAAUGAGGACACCUCCCCCAGGGCCCAGUGAGUGCUAAUGCAGCGGGGGAGGGGCUUACGUCCCCCCUGCCCCGUCCAUCUCUGAAUGUAGCCAGCCUGUGGGCACGGAGGAGGGGCUGCCUUGCUCCUAGCCCCCCAGUCUCUGCCCCCCCAAUGACCCCUCCCUCUGCAGGCCGGCUUAUCUCUGGGCCCCAUGUCUCUCCCCCACAAGCCAACUGCCCCCCCCAUUAGGGUGACAGCUCGCCCCCGACAUGCUUCAAGACCCUUAUUCCCCACCCGGGCUCUGCCCCCCAGUGUCCCAGCUCUGAGCCCCUUAUUGUCCCCAGGGCUCUGGCCNNNNNNNNNNACCCUAGCUCUGCCCCCCACCCCCCUGGUUCCCCCUGCUUCCAUCAGUCCAUUCAGUAACGCCCUCCCCCCGUCUGUCCGUCUGGUGUUGAUUAAUUAACUAAUUAAAUAAAGGCUUGUCAGGUAUUUUGAUGUAAAGGCGG
rnacentral:lncRNA from 1 species